rnacentral:rRNA from 1 species
UACGGGGGGGGCAAGCGUUGUUCGGAAUUACUGGGCGUAAAGGGCGCGUAGGCGGCCUACUAAGUCGGACGUGAAAUCCCUCGGCUCAACCGAGGAACUGCGUCCGAUACUGGCAGGCUGGAAUCCGGGAGAGGGAUGUGGAAUUCCAGGUGUAGCGGUGAAAUGCGUGGAUAUCUGGAGGAACACCGGUGGCGAAGGCGGCAUCCUGGACCGGUAUUGACGCUGAGGCGCGAAAGCUAGGGGAGCAAACGGG